CCUCCCCUUUUCCCCGCCUGGCUCCUCCCCCUUCCACGCCUCGCCCCGCCCUCCCUUGGCACCCAGAGGGCAACCCGGUAGGCACUCGGUGUCUCUCGCUCGCAAGGGGCAGUUGGCAUCACACUCCCUUGAUCGUCGCCGCCAACAGGAAACAAGCCUUAGGAGGACUGGGCUCACUCGGACUGACUAAUCCUACUCCAGUUCGUCUGACGGAGAGUUGGCUGAGUCAGCAGAGCGUCAGGAGCGCCUCGCUGACCCAAUAGGAGUUUGUCUAACCCGUGGCCAGGCAAGGAACCCGAGUGUCAGCAGAGAGUCAGGAGAUUUUGGCUGACGAGUCCUACCCGCAGCCCGAGGUGAUCAACAGCUGACGGCAGGAAUCGGACACAACCUCUCGGCUGACAAUCUCCCCGCAAGCAAUCCAGUAGUCAGCAGUGUCAGCAAGCGUCAGGACAAGGCCUCUCGGCUGACCCACAGUCUCCUAAGCGGACGUGACGCGCCGGGGACAGCGAGGGCGCGAGGCACAAAUCACUUCUUGUCCAGCGCGAGAGGAAGCCAUAUUUGCCCGCGUUCGUUCUCGUUGUUGUCUCGCUUUGGUGUUCUUUUACAAAA